GCGACGUUUCCCCCCAUUCUCACUGAAUACAAAGAGCGAAAAAUGAUUUUGGAUUAACGUCGCACUUAAAAAGCCAAAACAGAUUUAUUGUUUUAAAUAUCCAGUUAAACCACUCAUUUUAAAUGUAUCAGAAUUAGCUUCCACCCUUCCUCCAGCUAAAGCUUUGUUUUGUAAUGGGAAUAUGCCCUACUGUAUUUACUGUUGUCCAAUAAUGGAACUACUUUUAUUCUCACCCAAAGCAAAAUGGUCUGUAUAAGAGUGACACGCAAACGCUAUUGCCCUGUAUGCAACCCAUUUCCUGGAGUGGAGGUUGGAAUCUUCUCACACACGACAGAAUGCGUUUCUAGCAGGCUAUAAACAGGUGCAAGUCCGAAUUAUACCCAAAGUACUUCUCUACCCCUCAUUUCAUGUCAAGUAGAAAUA